rnacentral:rRNA from 1 species
UGGGGAAUAUUGCACAAUGGGCGAAAGCCUGAUGCAGCAACGCCGCGUGAGGGAUGAAGGUUUUCGGAUUGUAAACCUCUAUCGAUGGGGAUAAAAAGAUGAUAGUACCCAAGUAAGAAGCACCAGCUAACUACGUGCCAGCAGCUGCGGUAAUACGUAGGGUGCAAGCGUUAUCCGGAAUUACUGGGUGUAAAGGGUGAGUAGGCGGUUCUUUAAGUCAUAUGUGAAAUCCUGAUGCUUAACGUCAGGACUGCAUAAGAAACUGGAGGACUAGAGUGCAGGAGAGGUAAGCGGAAUUCCUAGUGUAGCGGUGAAAUGCGUAGAUAUUAGGAAGAACACCAGUGGCGAAGGCGGCUUACUGGACUGUAACUGACGCUGAUUCACGAAAGCGUGGGGAGCGAACA